UGUACCCUAAAUAUGCCUUUUAUAAGACACACGUUGAUAGUCUAUUGGCUAGAAAAAUUUGAGAGGUAAAAAAAUCAGUUUUAACUCGACGAAGAAAAUAGUCAGUGGCUUUCCUCGACGAAGAAAAUCAUCUGCUGUUGCUCAGUCGAAUCAAAAGAUGAAAUUUUCAUUGAAGAAACAAUCAUAAAUUCUCUGCAGAUACAAUCGAUCUUUUCUGCAAACUCAAGACACUUGUGCAUAGCUUAGAUAAUGAAAGAAAUGGAUGCCAGCAGAUGAUGUAGUGCUCAUCAAUUCGUGGUUAAACACGAGCAAAGAUCAUGUUGUAGAGAAUGAGCAAAGAUCUAGUGCUUUCUGGAAAAGAAUUGCCGCCUACUUUGCGGCAAGUCCAAAGGUUACAUGUCGUGAACACAGAGAGCCAAGUAAAUGUAAGUAACGUUGCCACAAGAUCAAUGACAUUGUCUGCAAGUUUUGUGGAUCGUAUGAAGCUGUAACCAGAGAGAAAAGUAGCGGUCAAAAUGAGAAUGAUGUUCUCAAACUAGCUCAUGAAAUCUUCUUCA